ACUUAUAUUGUCAAGUGGUUAAGACACCUUGAAUUCCUGCACCAAUCUGCCACUUGAAAGAUUUCGAGGAGACGGAAGUUCAAUUCCUCCUAUAAGUA